AGCAGCCGCGGUAAUUCCAGCUCCAAUAGCGUAUAUUAAAGUUGUUGCAGUUAAAAAGCUCGUAGUUGAAUUUUGGGUUUGGCCAAUUGGUCCGUUCUUGUAACGAGUACUGGUUGGUUGGGCCUCACCGCCUGGUGAUACGUAAUGUCCUUUAUUGGGUGUUGCGAGUAGCCAGGACCUCUACCUUGAAAAAAUUAGAGUGUUUAAAGCAGGCUUAUGCCGGAAUACAUUAGCAUGGAAUAAUAGAAUAGGACGAUGAUUCUAUUUUGUUGGUUUCUAGGAGCAUCGUAAUGAUUAACAGGGAUAGUUGGGGGCAUUAGUAUUCAAUUGUCAGAGGUGAAAUUCUUGGAUUUAUUGAAGACUAACUACUGCGAAAGCAUUUGCCAAGGAUGUUUUCAUUAAUCAAGAACGAAAGUUAGGGGAUCGAAGACGAUCAGAUACCGUCGUAGUCUUAACCAUAAACUAUGCCGACUAGGGAUCGGGCGAUGUUGUUUCAAUGACUCG
rnacentral:rRNA from 1 species